CCUGGUGGCUCAGACGGUAAAGCGUCUGCCUGCAAUGCAGGAGACCCUGGUUUGAUUCCUGGGUCAGGA
rnacentral:tRNA from 1 species